AACGAACGCUGGCGGCAUGCCUAACACAUGCAAGUCGAACGAGAACUUCGGGUCUAGUGGCGCCCGGGUGCGUAACGCGUGGGAACCUGCACUUAGGUUCGGCAUAACUCUCCGAAAGGGGUGAUAAUACCGGACAAUGUCUUAGGACCAAAUAUUUAUCGCCUUUGGAUGGGCCCGCGUUGGAUUAGAUUGUUGGUAGGGUAAAAGACUACCAAGGCGACGAUCCAUAGCUGGUUUGAGAGGAUGAUCAGCCACACUGAGACUGAGACACGGCCCAGACUCCUACGGGAGGCAGCAGUGGGGAAUAUUGGACAGUGGGCGAAAGCCUGAUCCAGCAAGGCCGCGUGAGUGAUGAAGGCCUUAGGGUUGUAAAGCUCUUUUACCCGGGAUGAUAAUGACAGUACCGAGAGAAUAAGCUCCGGCUAACUCCGUG
rnacentral:rRNA from 1 species